GGCGGUGUAGCUCAGUUGGUGAGAGCGCACGACUCAUAAUCGUGAGGUCGAGAGUUCGAAUCUCUCCAUCGCUACCA
rnacentral:tRNA from 1 species